rnacentral:rRNA from 1 species
GACGUAGGGUGCGAGCGUUGUCCGGAUUUAUUGGGCGUAAAGAGCUCGUAGGCGGUGUGUCGCGUCGGCCGUGAAAACCUGCAGCUUAACUGUGGGCUUGCGGUCGAUACGGGCAUCACUGGAGUUCGGCAGGGGAGACUGGAAUUCCUGGUGUAGCGGUGAAAUGCGCAGAUAUCAGGAGGAACACCGGUGGCGAAGGCGGGUCUCUGGGCCGAUACUGACGCUGAGGAGCGAAAGCGUGGGGAGCGAACAGG